rnacentral:rRNA from 1 species
AGAGUUUGAUCAUGGCUCAGAUUGAACGCUGGCGGCAGGCUUAACACAUGCAAGUCGAACGGUAACAGGAAGCAGCUUGCUGCUUUGCUGACGAGUGGCGGACGGGUGAGUAAUGUCUGGGAAACUGCCUGAUGGAGGGGGAUAACUACUGGAAACGGUGGCUAAUACCGCAUAACGUCGCAAGACCAAAGAGGGGGACCUUCGGGCCUCUUGCCAUCAGAUGUGCCCAGAUGGGAUUAGCUGGUUGGUGAGGUAACGGCUCACCAAGGCGACGAUCCCUAGCUGGUCUGAGAGGAUGACCAGCCACACUGGAACUGAGACACGGUCCAGACUCCUACGGGAGGCAGCAGUGGGGAAUAUUGCACAAUGGGCGCAAGCCUGAUGCAGCCAUGCCGCGUGUAUGAAGAAGGCCUUCGGGUUGUAAAGUACUUUCAGCGGGGAGGAAGGUGUUGUGGUUAAUAACCGCAGCAAUUGACGUUACCCGCAGAAGAAGCACCGGCUAACUCCGUGCCAGCAGCCGCGGUAAUACGGAGGGUGCAAGCGUUAAUCGGAAUUACUGGGCGUAAAGCGCACGCAGGCGGUCUGUCAAGUCGGAUGUGAAAUCCCCGGGCUCAACCUGGGAACUGCAUUCGAAACUGGCAGGCUUGAGUCUUGUAGAGGGGGGUAGAAUUCCAGGUGUAGCGGUGAAAUGCGUAGAGAUCUGGAGGAAUACCGGUGGCGAAGGCGGCCCCCUGGACAAAGACUGACGCUCAGGUGCGAAAGCGUGGGGAGCAAACAGGAUUAGAUACCCUGGUAGUCCACGCCGUAAACGAUGUCUACUUGGAGGUUGUGCCCUUGAGGCGUGGCUUCCGGAGCUAACGCGUUAAGUAGACCGCCUGGGGAGUACGGCCGCAAGGUUAAAACUCAAAUGAAUUGACGGGGGCCCGCACAAGCGGUGGAGCAUGUGGUUUAAUUCGAUGCAACGCGAAGAACCUUACCUGGUCUUGACAUCCACAGAACUUUCCAGAGAUGGAUUGGUGCCUUCGGGAACUGUGAGACAGGUGCUGCAUGGCUGUCGUCAGCUCGUGUUGUGAAAUGUUGGGUUAAGUCCCGCAACGAGCGCAACCCUUAUCCUUUGUUGCCAGCGAUUAGGUCGGGAACUCAAAGGAGACUGCCAGUGAUAAACUGGAGGAAGGUGGGGAUGACGUCAAGUCAUCAUGGCCCUUACGACCAGGGCUACACACGUGCUACAAUGGCGCAUACAAAGAGAAGCGACCUCGCGAGAGCAAGCGGACCUCAUAAAGUGCGUCGUAGUCCGGAUUGGAGUCUGCAACUCGACUCCAUGAAGUCGGAAUCGCUAGUAAUCGUGGAUCAGAAUGCCACGGUGAAUACGUUCCCGGGCCUUGUACACACCGCCCGUCACACCAUGGGAGUGGGUUGCAAAAGAAGUAGGUAGCUUAACCUUCGGGAGGGCGCUUACCACUUUGUGAUUCAUGACUGGGGUGAAGUCGUAACAAGGUAACCGUAGGGGAACCUGCGGUUGGAUCACCU